rnacentral:lncRNA from 1 species
UAAGAACGAACGAGGGCUGAUCUGUCUUCACUUGUAUUUGCUGCAAGGUCAACCAUCAGGAUCUGAUGUUCUGUUCCCUUUCACUCAGCAACACAUCCAAAUGCAGUUCAAGAAAUGGAGUAACAGAAAUUUUCAAGAGCCAGUAUUUUACUUAAAAAUGAGAUAUGGCUCUUGCUACUCUGAAAUAUUCUUCACCUUCUAUGCACAGGAGCUGCUUUUCUUCUGCUGCAAAAUGUCUGAAACACGUGGAAGAAGAGCCCAAACAGGGCUUUGGAGUUGCACAGGCCUGAAUUUGACAUCUGACCACACUACUUGCAAGCUCUGGACCCGAGAGCAGGUUCGCUCAGCCUCCCUGAGCCUGUUCUGUAAGUGAAAUGGGGCUGAGGUGAAGCUGAAAGAACAGCUCUAAGGCGCUCACGACGGGUUGUUGCCCAGGGUAUCUAAGAGAGUCCUCAUCGCCAUCGGGCAGUUAGUGUUGUACCAGCAUCCACCAGUCCCCUGUGGUGGUCUCUGGGCACAAGGGGCAGCAGCAGGAGUGGUCAUUGAGUCCGCUUGAGGUACUGUGAUGCAUACUCGUCACCCGGCUCACACAUUCCAGUCCCAUGCUAGUAACCUGUGUGCUAGGUACCCAUUCCAUAGAUGAAGAAUCUGAUUUAGGGACCUGACAGGCUAGGCAGCUAGGAAACGUGAAGUCAGAUCUGGCUCCCCAGGUGAAAACACGCUGGCA